GGGGUUGUAGCUCAGUGGUAGAGCACUUGCCUUGUAUACAUGAGGCCCUGGGUUUGAUCCUCAGCACCACA
rnacentral:tRNA from 1 species